GUGCCUAUAGUGUUAGUGGCUAGCAUAUCAGUCUUCCAAACUGAAGGGGUGGGUUCAAGUCCCAUUAGGCACUCCA
rnacentral:tRNA from 1 species